rnacentral:RNase_P_RNA from 1 species
GCAGGCGGACGGGCGAUCGCUUCGGGCUUCGGCCCGAAGAGGAAAGUCCGAGCUCCACAGGGCGAUGCGCCUCGUAACCCGAGGGCCCGCGAGGGACGGAAAGUGCAACAGAAAACAUACCGCCGAUGGCUGAAAAGCUCAGGCAAGGUUGAAAUGGUGCGGUAAGAGCGCACCAGCGGCCCGGAGACGGGCCGGCUUGGCAAACCCCGCACGGAGCAAGGCCAAAUAGGGAAACGCGGCGCCGCAAGGCGCCCCACCUCUCCCACGGGAGAGGGAUAGGAUGGACGGCCCGUCCAAGUUUCCGGGUAGGCCGCUCGAAUUCCGGGGAAACCCGGAAUCUAGAUGAAUGAUCGCCGCUUCGUUUCGCAUGCGGAACGAAGUACAGAACUCGGCUUACAGUCCGCCUGCAAUA